rnacentral:snRNA from 1 species
GUGCUUGUUUCGGCAGCACAUAUACUAAAAUUGGAACUAUGCAGAGAAUAUUAGCAUGGCCCCUGCGCAAGAGUGACACACAAAUUCAUGAAAUGUUCCAUAUUGAA